rnacentral:rRNA from 1 species
GGAGUUAGCCGGUGCUUCUUCUGCGAGUAACGUCACAGAUGUAAGGUAUUAACUUACACCCUUUCCUCCUCGCUGAAAGUGCUUUACAACCCGAAGGCCUUCUUCACACACGCGGCAUGGCUGCAUCAGGGUUUCCCCCAUUGUGCAAUAUUCCCCACUGCUGCCUCCCGUAGGAGUCUGGGCCGUGUCUCAGUCCCAGUGUGGCUGAUCAUCCUCUCAGACCAGCUAGGGAUCGUCGCCUAGGUGAGCCUUUACCUCACCUACUAGCUAAUCCCACCUGGGCUUAUCCAUCAGCGCAAGGCCCGAAGGUCCCCUGCUUUCCCCCGUAGGGCGUAUGCGGUAUUAGCAGUCGUUUCCAACUGUUAUCCCCCACAAAUGGGCAAAUUCCCAGGCAUUACUCACCCGUCCGCCGCUCGUCAUCUUCAAAAGCAAGCUUUUGAAAUGUUACCGCUCGACUUGCAUGUNUUAGGCCUGCCGCCAGCGUUCAAUCUGAGC